rnacentral:rRNA from 1 species
GACGAACGCUGGCGGCGUGCUUAACACAUGCAAGUCGAACGGAAAGGCCCUGCUUUUGUGGGGUGCUCGAGUGGCGAACGGGUGAGUAACACGUGAGUAACCUGCCCUUGACUUUGGGAUAACUUCAGGAAACUGGGGCUAAUACCGGAUAGGAGCUCCUGCUGCAUGGUGGGGGUUGGAAAGUUUCGGCGGUUGGGGAUGGACUCGCGGCUUAUCAGCUUGUUGGUGGGGUAGUGGCUUACCAAGGCUUUGACGGGUAGCCGGCCUGAGAGGGUUAACGGCCACAUUGGGCCUGAGAUACGGCCCAGACGCCUACGGGCGGCAGCAGUGGGGAAUAUUGCACAAUGGGCGGAAGCCUGAUGCAGAAACGCCGCGUGCGGGAUGACGGCCUUCGGGUUGUAAACCGCUUUCGAAUGUGCCGAAGCGUGAGUGACGGUAAUGGGUAAAGAAGCACCGGCUAACUACGUG